UGUGACGCUAUAUUAGGGUGUGACUUGCACCCCAUAGCAGGUGCGGGUUCGUAUAUGAUUGGGUAUUGUGACUUGGUCCAUCCCGAGUGCUAACUAUAAUUUAUUGCCAACUGAUACACACAUUGUAUUGUUGAAAAUUGGGCUUAUUGCCAUAUCUGGGGCCUUGUGCCGAUUUGUAGCAUCCGUCUAGGAUGAAUAUCAUUGUGAUAUCAUGAUUUGUAUAAUCAUUGAUCUCAGUCCUGUAUCUAAUCACUUUUAUGAAAUGCUAAGUCAUGUUUUCCCUAAAAUUAAAUAAUUAAAUUAAUCCGUCUAGGAUGAAUAAUAUUGUGAUAUCAUGAUUUGUAUAAUUAUUGAUCUCAGUCCUAUGUCUAAUCACUGUUAUGAAAUGCUAAGUCAUUUUUCCUGAAAUUAAAUAACUAAAUUAUAUUCUUCUUAAUAAAUUGAAAUUGGAAAAUUAAUUGAAUCUGUUAUGUGACUCAUAUGCAUACUAUGGACUGAGUAUGGAUUGGGUUGCACGCCGCAGUAAUGACAUGAUGAUAUUGCACUUGGCCUGUAGGAUCCCCCCCCCCCNN
rnacentral:lncRNA from 1 species